UACAGCUCCUACUACAACAACCACAACAGUAGCUCCUACCACAACAACCACAGCUGCAGUUCCUACUACAACAACAAUAACUGAGGCUCCAUCUACAACUACAGCUCCUACUACAACAACCACAGAUCCAAAUCCGACAACAACAGUUCUGACUACAACAACCACAACUACAGCUUCUACUACAACAACAAUAACAGGAGCAGCAGCUCUUACUACAACCACAGUUCCUACUACAACUACAGCUCCUACUACAACAACCACAGAUCCAAUUACGACAACAACAGCUCCUGCUAAGUUAACAGCAGCUGUAGCUCUAAUCACAACAGCUCCUACUAUGACAACCACUGCUCCUAAUAAAACAACCACAUCUCCUAAUAAAACAACCACAUCUCCUACUACAACAACUGCAGCUCCUAAUACAACAACUGCAGCUCUUAAUACAACAACUACAGCUCCUACUACAACACCUACAGCUCCUACUACAACAACUACAGCUCCUAAUACAACAACUGCUGUUCUUACUACAACAAUUACAGCUCCUAAUACAACAACUACAGCUCCUAAUACAACAACUGCAACUCCUAAUACAACAACUGCAGCUCUUAAUACAACAAUUGCAGCUCCUAAUACAACUGCAGCUCCUACUACAACAACUGCAGCUCCUAAUACAACAACUGCAACUCUUACUACAACAACUACAGCUCCUAAUACAACAACCACUACUGAGCUACCAGACACUACACAAAUGAGCACUAUAACUCCACCUGCAGGACAGUACACCAUGCAUAGUAGGUCUGGAUAUAAGUUGGUACUGAGGGUGAAAUUUACCAUGACAACAGACCUUACCGAAUCUGAAAUCUUGAAGCAGAUCUGCCACCCCCAGCAGUUCAGCUGCAGUCACGGCAUUCCCCUGCUCUGGUAUUUAAUCUACCGGCUGCACCAGUUCCUACUACACUGGCCGUGAAGGGAGAAACUUUCGAGGAUUCCCAGAUGGAUACAGGUCAUUCAGAAUUAUAUUACAUAUGCUCACUCACACCAACAGAUGUGCACACAGACAUGUUGUUGAGCUGUAUACUUACUGUCACUUUGUGCAUCUCUCUUUCAGAUCUGCCAUGCACUCCACCACUGCCUGACAGCCUCAGCCAGAAGUGCAUACACUGGGCCUAUCAAGACUGACAAAGCAGAGAUGGGUGGCUGACAAGGAAAAAUAAAAUGAAACAUGCGCGCACACACACACCACCCACAAUGUAAAUCAGUUGUAAUAACUUGUUUAUUUUAUUUGAGGAAAAUAUCUGCAAUAAAGUACAUUCACAC
rnacentral:lncRNA from 13 species